GUACAGUGUGCCACCUUCUUCCUCUGCUGACUCCUUUCCAGUCGUGGCAGUCUCAACACGUAGUCUCCUGUUGCUUCCAGUUCAUGAAGUUGCUUCUUUGUUUAGACUCUUGUAUACCCAAGUUCUUAGGGAUAACGUAGCAACUUUACAAACCAAGUCAGCAUGGGGAAAAACUGCUUUCAUUAUGUAAGUUAUUUCUUUAACUGGUUUUAUUAUGUAAGUUAUUUCUUUGAGGUUUUGAAACUAAGCCAUUGACAGAAUUAAUUAACAUUUCUGUUUUUACAGUUGUUUUUUACCUUUUCAUUUUAAUUCUACUUCAUGCAUAUGGGUGUUUUGCCUGUGUGUGUUUGUGCACAGUCUGUGUACAGUGCUGGAGGAAGCCUGAGAAGAGCUUCAGACCCUCGGGAACCUGAAUGACGGUUGUUGUGCGCUCCCAGGUGGGUGCUAGGGAUUAACCCCAGGUCCUCUGGAAGAACAGCCACCUCUCCCAGCCCCUGUGGUUUUUUUUUAAAGCCUCCCUGAGAACAAUCAUGUCUUUCUUUUCAUUUAAGCAGACCAGGUAUAGUUAGUGUUAUUCAGGUGUAGCACAGCCUCUGCCCUUUCACCUGGCAGGGUGAUGUUAGGAGUUCAGUAUAUCAUUCCACCCUUAAGUUUCUCGGUACACACCUCUGUAUGGAUUCCUUUUUCAAAAGAAUACACAACCAUAGACCUUUGUGAUAGGUACAAAGAUAGCAUAAAAUCCCCAAAUGUUUUCGUAGGUAUAGUUAGUGGGAGCUGUUAAUGCUCAAAUUUCAAUGGCUUCUUUAAUUUUUAAUGUUCAUUGUGUUUUCUGUAUUUUGAUACAACUCUGUCCCAAGUAAGCAUUGUUUGUAUUGCAUAACAUCACUGGGGAGAUGCAGUUCAUUAAGUCAUUCUUACUGCUAUGGUGGCAUGGUCUUUCUACAGGCUGAAGAAUUUCUGUGACAGAAUGUGUGAGAGUAGAAAAUCAUUUCUAGGGCAAGUCCAAGGGCCUGGGAUCGCAUUUGAGACACUGCUAGGGGAUAAGUUGUUUAUUGAAUAUUGGGUUAUUUUUCGUUUGUCAGAGUAAAGUUAAUAACAGUUAUGUUUGGACAUGACCAAGAUUGAAGAAGCAGAGGACAGUGCAUAGAGUAUGAAUAGAGAGCGCUUCAAAUGUAUCUGGGGGGGUGGGGUGGGCAUUGUUUGUAACUUAUAUGCAAACUUCAGUUAUAAUAUUAGUUUAUUACUUGGAAUAUGAAAGAUAAUUAUCAAAAGAAGACAGAGACCAAUUUUACUAAGUUUAAGUUUAGCAUAAAUUCCUUUCAUCAUUUUGUAUUCCAUUAUACAAAAUCAUUCAAAAAGCACUUUAAGGUCCUGAAAUGAAACCAUAGUCUUGUAUUUCCCUACCAAGUAGUAGGAGUAGAGAGCUGUGGCCUGGCCAGGGAGAAAUGUUGAUGGUGAGCCAGCAUAUACUGAAAGACUGCUGUGUUUGAAGAGAAUUGCGCCGCUGAGGUCUGUGCUGAUGCCUGUUUUAAAAGCACUCUAUGUGUGUCCGUGUUUAGAUUCUUUCUUACAGACACUCACUCACUGUUCCAGCAGAGUCACUCUGGUUUGCUUCCCCCAUCCUUCCUUCUGAGGAGCCUUUCUUAAAAACCUCUUAGGGAUGAAAGAAUGGUUGUCUCUCUUCAUAGAGAAAAACCUUCUCCACGCAGGGUUGUUUACAGCUCAGUAUCCUACAUAUGACUGUAGAAUUUAAUACCUGUGGUGAUGUAGUAGAUUUUUUUCCUUACUAUAUAACUUGUUACAUACCGUAAUUUGGCCAUUUAUUCAGAUGAAUACCUCUACUGCUUAACAAAAGAAAGCAUGGUUUAGAGCAGUUUUCAUCACUUUCCUGAUGUGUCUUGGUGAACACUGAUGUUUCUUGCAUGUACAAAUAGGCAGACGCCUGUGGCUUGGGACUGUCAUAAAGGACGUCUGUGCACACCCAUGAACGUUCCUUGGCUCUAAUAUUUCUGUGUACCUAGAGUUAGCUUCUACAUUGUGGCUUCUCUGUCUCUGCCUGAGAGCUGUUUCUUCUGCUGGCUAGUUUUCUCACAGAAAGGGAUGGACAGAGUGCCAGACUACUAGCUCUUAACUCUGUGGAUACCCUGUCAAUCUAACCUGAGAAGACUUAGUGGGAAUAAGUGGUUAUUCCCUUAACCAGUAGUUGGGAUACUCUGACGGAGUGUCCUAUGCUGCCUUCCAGAGUUCUGCAGGUGAAUUAAGCAACAGUCUAUAGGAGAUUCAGCUAGCACUGGCUUUCUAGGCUAGUCUCUUCAUUGACUUCGUUCUGUUCCUCUUCCUCAGUCCUCUCCCAGUGUUUCCCCACAGUCACCUCCCUUUCAGAGAUCUCUCAGCUUGCUGCUGGAGGGAUCAGUUCAAGACUGUACCUCUUUAUUCAGAAAAGUGAAACAAUACUUUUAGAAUAAUCUUAGAGUAUGUAUAUAUGUAUGCAUGUAUGCAUGCUUUGGCUGGUUGUCUCCCUCUCCCUUCCCUUUUCCUUCACCCUCUCCCUCUUCUUCCCUUCUUCUCCCUUUCUUCCUCCCCUCUUCCCCCCUUUUCUCUUCUCUCUCCUCCUCUCACCGCCCUCUCCUUUCUCAAGUGUAUUGCAUGGGGGUUUGGAGGAGUCAGAAGCAAGAGAGCCAGUUGGCUCCAUGUGGGUCUUUGGGAUGGAGCUUAGGUCAUAGGUGGUGAGUGCUUUCCUGGCUAAGCCAUCUGACCAGUACUACUUAGAUGUGUUUCUGUUGUUGUUGAGACAGAAUCUCGGUAUAUAGCCUUAACUGGCUUGAUACCAAGGCUGGCCUCAAAUCCACAGAGAUCUACCCGCCUCUGCCUCCCAAAUGCUGGGUUAAAGGUGUGUGCCACCACAUCUAAUUCCUCCUUUGACUUUUACCUUAUAGAUCUAUACUAAUACUCUACAUAUCCUCAGCAACUUCAUCUCCCUUCUACAUUACUUUUUACAUUUUCGAGCAUAGGUUUUACAUGGAUACAUGUGUUGUUUAGAAAUAGUACAGUAUUAAAAAAAUACCAAGCUUCAGAAACACGUGUGUUACAGCAGACCAGAGAAUUGUACUAGCAACAUAUAUUCUCCUUUUCUUUUUAAAUAAAUACCAUAGGAGUUAGCUCAUUGAGACACAUAGGUUGAUAAAUUUAUCAUUUAAUUUGGGGCUCCAAUUAAUUUUUUUCUCUAACUUAACUUUUAAUUUUAAGUCUGGCAUGACUUAGAAGCAAGUGAAAGUAUUUGUGGGAAGCGAAUGUCAGUUGAAUCAGUGAUGCAGGUAAUUCAAUUGAAUUAUUUUUCAUGAGUUUUUUUAUUCUUGAAGUCGUUUCUACCAAGUAACAUUUUUUUAAGUUAAUGAGGUAUUUUGCACAUGGAAUAUUUCCCCCUUAUAAAGACCUUUUCGAGUGAAUUAUACUCCAGUAGAUUCUGUAGCUUUGAAGUUGUUAUUUCAGAAAGCUGGAGAAUAUGGAGACUCUACAUGAAUGCCUGGGAGUUGGUAUUCCAGAAGGUGACUAGUUUUGAGGUUAGACUGGCCAUUUGUGGAAGAAGAAUAAAAGGGGUGUGGAUAAAAGGACAUGGCUAUCACUGAAUACUAAGUUUUCUGAAGAAGCAUGGUUUCUGUUUCCAAUGGAUUGAAUGUAGAUAAUGAAGAGGAAGGGAAGGAGUUUAGUGGAAGCAAAAGAGGAAAAAUCAAAACAAAACAAACAAAAACCCCACUAAAACAACAGAAUUAUACUGGUUGAGUGAGAAGGUUUCCAGGAGCUGCUGGCCCUCAGGUAAGUGCUUCACACCAGCAUGGAAAGCCUCUUGCACUCGAACGUGGCAUUUAUAAGGGGUGGAAAGGGCGUGAGGAACUUGGAGCAGGACAGAUGGAGUGCGAAGUGUAGGGCUAGAAGUCAUACACAGUGAGACCAGCUGCUCUGCCUCCUGCUUUCCCUCUUCUGAUAAGAAAAAUGGUGCUCAGGAAAAGACUGAGUUCCCAUGGGGAAUGUAGUAAAUUGGUACUUCACAGAUUAGGACGUAUCUAAUUAGGAUGCUGUGCUGCCAACAGCUCCAAAUCCUGAGAAGUAAAGGUUUGGGGAAAGAGAGAAAUAACAGUUAGCACUUGGUUCCUCAGACACUCCUCACUUUCUUCCAACAGAGCAACCCAGUGUUGACUUUGGAAGUUACCCGUCACACGGCUACGGAUAUCAUCCUGUACAAUGGGUACAUUUUCUUUCUUCUGAAGAUUGAGGAAUGUUUCUGACAUUUGUGGGCAAAGUCUUUGUUCAUUCUGAUGGUCUGUUUUACAGGAUUAUAUCUUGGCUUUUAUUCAGGCAGUGCACGGUACCUCAUUUACAGUAGCUCUGGAAUAUAUGUGACUCUAAAAUUGCUUUAAAUACCUUUGUAAAAGUGUUUAUAUUUAUGGUAAUUAUUCAUAGUUAAUCAUUAGUGGAAGUAAUAGCUUUAAGUAUUAUAACUCAGUUUAGGUCCUUAGAGCUGUGAAAAUGACUAGCCUUCAUUGGAGCUAACUUGAGUUGGUAUAUUGAUAUAGUGUCUGAUUGACUACUGUUUAAUGUUGUUGGUUAUUUUAUAAGUAGUAGGAAUCACAUUCUAGAGCCGGGUGUGGUGGCGCACGCCUUUAAUCCCAGCACUUGGGAGGCAGAGGCAGGCGGAUUUCUGAGUUCGAGGCCAGCCUGGUCUACAGAGUGCGUUCCAAGACAGCCAGGGCUACACAGAGAAACCCUGUCUCAGAAAACCAGAAAGAAAGAAAGAGAGAGAGAGAGAGAGAGAGAGACGGAGGGAGGGAGGGAGGGAGGGAAGGGAAGGGAGGGGAAGGGGGAAGGAAGGGGGAGGGAAGAAGGGGGAAGGAAGGGAGAAAGAAAGAAAGAAAGAAAGAAAGAAAGAAAGAAAGAAAGAAAGAAAGAAAGAAAGAAAGAAAGAAAGAAUGAAUGAAUGAAUCACAUUCUAUCAGCUUUAAAUCAAAUCAGGCCAUACAUAAGUGGUAAGCAUUCGUUUUAGAGAACUCUGCUUUGUUUUGGUGGUUCCUGCAGUGUUGUGUAAGCUGUUCACCCAACCAGAUUUAUUUAAAAAUCAUUGGCUAUAUUAUUUUUGUAGAAACUUUGUAAAACUGAUUUCAUAAUACUAUUAAUAUUUUGUAAGCUUGCUACAUAUGGUUAUAUUUUUCUUUUUACAUAGAAAAUGAAUAUAUAAUACAGAGAACAUUUAUUAAUCCUCAUAACAACCUUCACAUACUAAUAAUAAAUGGCUAGUUGUUAAUGAUUUGCCUCUUUCAUAUCUGCCUUGUCUGGAUUAUGUGAAAGCAAAUCCAGGUUCCAUCACCUCAUAGUAAUUACUUUAGUCCAGGGUCCUUAUCCCUUGGGGAUUUCUCUUCUCUGAGCCAUUCCAAAGAGUAAUAUGUAGGGAUAAUUAGUUCUAGAGUGAAAGCUUCCUGGUUUUGAAUUUCUCUGUUUUUCAUAAUCCAAUCACAUUGAUAAGUAAGUUUGACAUUACUUAGAGGUCUUAUAAAGAAAAAGGUAUAUUUGCAUUGUUACUUUUUUAUAUUGUAGUUUUGUUGAAUUAUAAUUCACAUUUCACAGGGUACAGCUUACUAGAUUUAGUAUAUUUACAGUGCCAUACACCUAUCACAACAUUCCAUUUUGGAUCACUUUAAUAUAAUUAGCAGUUACCCGUUGAUCCCGCUUGAGUCUCUACUGCUACUAUCUGUACUGUAUAAUCUAUUUGGGGAGUUUUGUAUAGGUAGAAUCAUAAGGUAUUUAAAUAUUGUGAUUGGCAUUUGUAUUAGUUACUCUUCUGUGGCUGUGAUAACAUACCAAGUUAGGGAAGAGUUAUACUUUGGGCUAUAGUUCACACAUGGACACUCUUGACAUAGAAUGCAUUUUUUUAAAAAGAAGGCUUUUGAGCUUUCUCUUUGCUAUUUUACAGUCUCAGGGUAUAUUUUGUGAUUAGGUUACUCCUUUCAAUUCUAGGAUUUACUGAACUUUGUACCUAGUGAUUGCUGUUUUUCUUCAAUCAUAGGAUAUUUUCAGAUAUCCCUUUAAGUAUUGCCUCUCCUCUGUCCUUUUCUUCCCCCCUCUGAAAUCCUGACUGAACAAAUGCUUUGAGCAGAUGCUCAGCUGUUUGAUUAUAUCUUCUGCAUCUCUAUUUUGGUGUUUGUUUGUUUGCUUUCCCCUCCAUGCUUUAUACUCUGCAAAAUUUAUUUUUCCAUGUUCUAGCUCACUGAAUGAUGAUUUUUUAAAUUGUGUCUAGUCAGAUAUUAAACAUAUCCAGUGAUGUUUAAAUUCUAUCUGCUGUGCAUUUUGUGUUUCUAAGUGUCUGAGCUGAUUUACUGUAUCCCUCACAGCACAGGUAGUUUAUUUCAUAGUCAGUACUGGAGAAUUCCAGUCUCCAUCAAAGUUCUUUCCUUCAGAGAGGCUCUUGGGAACAUUACCAGUUGUCUCACUGUUUAGCAGUUUAUUGCUGGGUAAGAAACCACCCCAAAAUGGAGCUUAAAAUACUGAUGCAGUGUUCCCACAGUGUGUAGGUAUCCGUCAGGCUGGGCAGCUUUUUCACAGCUGUUAUCAGUGAGAGGGUCACACAUCUGCACCCAGCUGUGAGUCGACUGCUUCUGACUUGCCUCACUGAUGACUGGGUCAGUGUUGCAGGGGUACUUUGGUCCUCCUUCGUGCACUGCAGUACUCUCUCAACAUGUGGUAUCUAGCCCAACAUCUGUAUUUAGCAUCAUAGGUAGGUAGGGUUUGCAGUUGAUUAGCCACUUCUAGUCACAGGGCCAGUCCAAUUCAAGAAGGAACCGGUCCCUACAGCCCCUUCUUCCUUUUUGUCCCCCCCCCUUUGUUUGUGGCUACAGAUUAUUUAUCGUAAUUCCCCUUCCAUUUUUAUUCAAAACUCAGGGGGAUUUGGUGGCUAAUUAUCCUAUUAUCAUAGUGUCCCAAGAAUUUGUGGAGUCGAACACAGCAGUUGUUCUUUGACUUGAUAGUCAUCUUCCUGGAAAAUUGUAUUUAAAUUGCAUCAUGAGUAGAGUGUGUUAAAUUUAGUCCAGUUCAGGUUUGGGGCACAUAAGUGUUUAUUAUAUAUUAUCUUCAGUGUUUUUCUGAAGUUUAAAAAUUUAAAACUAAAAUAGGGAGAAAUGCUCUGGGAGGAUUCAGUAAAUUAUUUUGUUUAGUAAAUAAUUAUUUUCUAAAUUCAUACUAAAUUGAUUUUUUUUUCUAGUCCAGGCCCUUUGGGAAGCAAGAAUUUCUUAGGAAAAUGGAUAGACUCCAAUCUUAUUUUUUUCCUUGCUUUACGUUUGUUUGUUUAGUGUGUGGGUGGGUGUGUCUUUGAGGACAGCUUGCAAGAUUUGAGUUCUUUCACCAUGUGGUUCUAGGUAUGAAACUUGAGUCUUCAUGCUUCGUGGUAAGUGCCUUUAACUGCUUACCGACUUAACUGCACUUCUUGAGACCAGCCAUACGCAAGCAAGGACAGACAAAGGGGUUCUUAUCUGAGUGUGGGGGGUGGGAGGACUGUAUAUGUGGUUAGAAAUACGUAGAUACCUGUGUAGAACUGUGUGUGCGCAUGCUCAUGUGUGUGCACGUGGAGGUGGAGCAAUAUAUGUGUGGAUGUAGAGACCAAAGGUCAUCACUAGGUAUCCUCCUUAUAUCUGUGCUUAGUUUUUUAAGACAUGGCCAGCCUCUCACUAAACAGGAGCUAGCCAGUUCAAAGGGGUAGGUGUCUCUGCCUUGCCAUCCCUGGCUUUACAGAUGCAUGCUGCUAGGUGUGGCUUUUUACCUGAGUCCUGGAGAUUUGAACUUGGAUUCUAAUGCUUUGGUUCUAUUCCUACUGAACUGUAUGUCCAGCCCUGGAAAGGAUUAUUUUUAUUGACUAUUAUCUUCAGAGAAUGCCUACUAUAGCUUCCAUUACUUUGUAAGAGCCAUAAAAUUAUAACUUGACAUCCAGUCUGGAGCACUUAAGUCUAUACAUUAGACCUGUUUCUUCUUUGUGCCUAUAUUAGAUAGUCACAAACACACACACACACACGUCUCUUUUGCACUGCAAACAGAAUUAUAGCUUGUUGUAAAUGUUUAUUUUCCAAGCUGUCUGUGCACUGUAGAUACUUUGUUGAACAAUUGACUGACAUGCAGCUCUUUUUUCUUUCCUCAUACUUAACUGUUUUUAUUUCCUUUAUUUCCUGGUGUUAAAAUCCAGUUUUUAAUAUGUAUGUUUUUGUUAAUUAUGAGCUUUGAUCUAAUUUGGUCUUUAUUAGAACAUGAAAAAUAAUUGUUUUUUCUUUCUCAAGUUUUGUUUGUUUCAAAAUGGAUUGUGUUAUUAUUUCUACAUGUUGUACUUGGAAGCUGUCAUAUAAAUUGCCUAAGUCUAUUGCAUUAAUUUUUAUAUUUGUCUUAGUAAUUUUCUUUAGAAUAUUUGAAAAAAAUCAUGAUUUUUUUUCUGUUUAAUUCAGAAAGAAAGAGAGAAAAUGAAUAGAUAGAUAGAUAAGUUGCCAGACUCCUUAUCAUUGUCACACGUAGCCAUUAAGCCCCAAAGUGAUAGUCAUAUGCUAUGGCAUCAGAUCUCUUUACACCUCUCCUUCCCUUCACUGGCUGCCCUAAUAAGGGAAGAGUUACUCCUUUCAAAUAGUGGCAGCUUGAAAUGUAUUGGCCUAUUCACAGUAGCUUAGUUUCUUUUCCUAUCAGUGUGGCAAAAUACUCUCAACAAGAAAUCAAUUUCAAGGAGGAAGAGUUUAUUUUAUUCAGUUAUUUUAGUUCAGUGUGCAUACUGUGGUGAGGAAGAUAACAAAAGCUUGAAGCAACUGGUAGCAUCACAUCCACAAUCAAGAAGCAGAGAAGGAUAAAGCAUGGUGCUGUUCCAUUACAUUUCUUCUACAUUUGCACAGUCCAGGAUCCUGGCCAGGAAGUGGUGCCACCCACGGUGGGCAGUUCUCCUCACCUCAAUAUAAUGAAAAUAAUUCUUUGCAGGUAGAGCCAGAAGCCCAUCUCCCAAAUUACUUUAGAUUCUGUCAAGUUGACAAAUGUGUCUUCUACUCAUGCAUGGACAUUAUUUUUUCCAGUGCUCUUAAAAAGAAUUUUAGGUGGACUGUUUUACUUCUAAUUGUCUUGCUGAUACUGUUUCAAAAGUGGAGUAGAUGUAAGAAACAGCUUUCUACUUUUUAAAGGGAAAGAGAGAUUGUAGGUAGGGAGAGUGUGUAUUGAAGUAGAGAGUGGACUUUGAAGUUGACUUCAGAGUUCUUGUUAUUUGCUGUGCCUUGAAGUGGCUUGCUCCUUGCUAAGCCUCAGUUUCUUCAUUUGUAAACUGAAGGUAGAAUUAGCAAGCACAGUGGCAUUUUCUUCUGCUUUCAAGAGGAUCUCGUUUUCAUCAGACAGUGGUGACUCAGGCUUUUAAUCCCGAUACUCUGGAGGCAUAGGCAGGUGAAUCUCUGAGUUCAAGGCCACUCUGGUCUACACAGCAAGUUCUAGGGCAUCCAGGGCUACACAGAGAAACUUGAGAAACCAAAAAAACAAAAGAUUCUUUUGUUUUCAUAUCUUAUUACCUUAUAUCUUUAUGUUACUCUUCUACAUAUGUAAUAGUAGCCCAUGGUAAUGUCAGCUAGAAUUUUGGACAGGCAAGAAGAGUCUUAGGCUGUGAAGACAAUUUCAAAUAAGUGUCUGUUGUAGAUGUUUUAAAAACAUGGGCCUAAAAAAUGAAAUUUUUUUUGGAAUGUGUCAAAUUACAACAAAAUGUAACAGUGAUCUACCUUAUUGUAAGGUAAGGUUUGUAUGUGUCCAGUAGGCACUCUUGUCAAGCUUUAUUCUCUAAGAUUUUAUAGAACUGGUGUGAACUAAGCCCUGAGCUCUUCACAAGGACAGUAUUGUCCAAACUUCAUUGUGACUUGCUGAUUCAAGAAAAGCAAGGUGUUUAGAAGCUAAAGGAGCCUGGGCACAAGGUCAUAUCUCAGCUUUUACUCGUCUUUGCUCAUGUCUUCCAUUUCUUAAUCUCUCUAUUACCAAGAUGAUUUUUGUUCCUAGUGGUCUCUGUAUAGAUACUUAUCUUUUGGGCAGCUUUAAAAUAAGGUUUUUAAAAUAAUAGUUUUAUGUUUUAUUUUAUAGAUGAUUGUAUAUAUUUAGGAGUAACUUAAAAGAGAACUCACUAACCUGGAGGUGAGUGCAUGCUUUAAGGGCUCACCAUGUUACUUGUGUUAACUGUUUUCUGUCCUAAACACAUUCUAGCCAUUACCCCUACCCUCUCCCACCCCCAACCCCCAACCCCCCUUCUCCUUUGCCUGCAUUUUGAAAAACAUUACCUGGUUGCAGUCGAGUCAAAUUCAGCUUCCAUUCUUUCAUGGUGGGAGCUGGCCCGGAUGGCUGCCACAGCAAGCUCUGCUGCUCAUGGGCCCUGCUCUCUGUAUUGGGACCCAGGGAUAAGGUUGGCUGCAGACAAAAGCAAAAAGAAAAAGAAAAAAAAAAAAAAACCAAAAUACUGCCUGGAGCCAGCAAAUUGGCUUAGUGGGUAAAGACAUCAGCUGCCAAGCCUGAGGUUCCGAGUUCAACCCAGGACCUACAUGAUAGAGAACUGAUUCAUAUGUGUGUGUGUGUGUGUGCGCACGCACACACACACACACACACACACACACACACACACACACACACACAUAAAUAAGUAAAAUGCAAUAAUCAUUUUAAAACCCUGUGUAGAUUUUACUAUCAGGGUCCUGGUAUUUUUAUAGGUAUAAAAUUUAAGUGUCUUGAUGUUCUUUGUUCUUGAUGUUUUUGUUGACAUUUUUAGAAGGAAAUGCCUAAUUGUUUGAAUCAUUGACUACAAUUUAUUGGUUUGAGAAAACAGGGUAGGCUACUAGGAAUCAAAUGGGUGCCCUGAUCUAAGAGUCACGGCCCCUCUCUGUCAAGGCAGCCCUUACAGUUAACUUUCUCCUUGCAUUCUCCGGUUUCUGGAACUGACCGCCUCCUCCUUCAGCUCUCACUAGUUCAGUGUUUUACAUUUGGUCCUCUUUUCCAGUGUUCUUUAUUCUUUACCGAAUGUUGUGAAACAGAAUUCAAAGGGCUUUAUCCCCUUCCUUCUACCUCAGUAAUCUUCAUCUACCACAAAAUGAAGGCAUUACAUGGAAUUUACUGUAUCUCAAAUCUGGGCAUUAGCUCUGUGUUUACUUGACCCAAAUACCUUUCUUCCCCUCAUUUACUUAAAUACUCAUAUUCCCUGAAAGAAUUUUUAGUUGAGUUUUGGAGAUUGGUUUCAUAGUUACUCCCAGCUGUGGUUGUUCUUUCUCAACUUAAGCCAGAGAUGAUUCUAUAUGUGAAUGUAAAACUUUGCUUACCUUGCAAUGGUUUCUUUCCUGGUUACUUAAAAAAAAUUUUUUUUUGUUAUUUUCAGAGGUUUUAAAAAAACUAUUAUUUAAUAAAAUGUUCACAGACAUCAUGUCGGUAUCUUGUUAGCAAUAGAUGCAAGAGGAAAGAAGCAAAGGACCCAGCCAGACUUUCUGCUCUUUAAAAGCACAUUACAAGCCACAUAUGUCCCUAUGCCAUUGGUAAAAACACAAUAAUCUGACCACACCCACCAACCAGGAAAUAACAGGUUUAACCUGGUGCAUGUCCCCACCUUUCCACCUCCUCACCCCCAACCUCAGUUAGGUUCCUAGCAAAAGAAGAGGAGAUUGUUCUGGGAGUGCAUGAUUGUUCAAGCAUCUUUUUUAGGUGCUCAGGAAAUUGUCAUGUUUGGUGCUUUGAAGACAAUGCUUCUGUGGAAAAAUGGGGAAGGAAAUCUUGUAUUAGGAUAAAGUUGCAGCAUGUUUAAAAUACUUAAAAAACCUUUGCAUGGUGACUCUGUUGGGAAUUUUAAUUUUUGACAUUAGUAUGCACAUUUUAGGAAGAAUAUUAACAUAUUUUUCAGUUUUCAAGGAAUAAAAUGUUAGCUAUAAGUGAUUAUACUUUGUCUUAACUUUUAAAGAAACGUUGGUAUUUACUAUCUUGCUUUUAUAAAGAAACUACAAUGUCAUGUUGCAAAAGGGUAUAUGAAAAUUUUGAUUCUAGUGUAAUUGCAAGGUUACAUCUCUUUUGAGUUAAAAUUAUUUUUAUUGUAUUUUUAAAUAAAAAGCAAGAGCACAGAUAUUAACAAACUUUGUGACAUUAGUAAGCUAAAUACUUUUGUGCAAUUGUUUUGUCUGCAAAAUGGCUCUUUAAUCUCUUUGAUUUUUUUUUCUUUCUUUUUUGCUAAUUCUCUGCGCUCCCCCCCCCCCCCAAUGCUUGGCUGGGGGCGGGGGUCAAAGCUAAUGCUUAAGUAUUUACUGCUGUGCCCACUAUUGCAUCUCAGCAAUGCCAUGCACUGUAAUGCCCCUCUUUUAAGGGAUUGUUUUUCCAGCACCUCCACUUUGCUGACUUGUUCUGAUGAAUUCAUAUGCUUUUCCCAGAAGAGCGAUCUUUUACAAUGUAAAAGUACUGCCAUGUACCACAUACUGUCAUGAAACGUAAAACAACCAGUCAUGACCUUUGUGCAGGAGAGAGUGGGGUGGUAAUGGUUGUGUUGUUAGAAUACCAAUACUUUCUGAGGGAAUUUAGCUUUUUAUAUUAAAUACAACUUUUAAAAAUAAAGUGAAUUAAAAGUAAUUGUGCUUACAUUUUUAAAAUUACAUCCUGUGGUUAAAGGGCCAGCCUUGGAGUGAUACCAAUUAGUUGGUGUUGGUGGUAUAGUGAUGAACAUACUUGCCUUUCAUAAACAUUAGGAAUGGCUUUAUUACAUAAAUAGCCUUUGAGUUCACUAACUAUCUCAUUGUCUACUGCCAAAGUUGUAUAUAGCACAGUUUGCUAUUUCCACAUACAUUGUUAGUGACCUUUCAUUUCUCAUCUAUACACUAAUGCUUUUGCUCUGCAAGAAAUAUGCUGGAAUCUCGCUUUUCAAACUCCUGAAGUACAUUGCACCAAUGCUCAGAUCAUCUACUUAGAUUCCAGAAUUUUCACUGAGACUCAGUAGAAGAAGGAAAUACAACUGGGGACCAAAAUGAUGUUUUAACGUGUCUUUGUAGUUUUCAAGAUAACUGAAUAUACUAAUCUCUGGUGUUUUCUGGCUGAUAUGUAACAGACACACAUGGGUCAUGAGUUCCUAAUGGUUGUGGGGUUUUUUUGUUUGUUUGUUUGUUUUUUGUUUGGUAAGCUGGCCUUAACUAGUUUAAAAACAUGUUAACUGUAAUUAAUAAUGUAUACUUUGAAGUGUUUUCAUAGGAGACAGCUAUAACAGGGUCCCUUCACCAAAAUCUUGCUGGCAUAUGCAAUAGUGUCUGCGUUUGGUGGCUGAUUAUGGGAUGGACCCCUGGGUGGGGCAGUCUCUGGAUGGUCCAUCCUUUCGUCUUAGCUACAAACUUUGUCUCUGCAACUCCUUCCAUGGAUAUUUUAUUCUGCAUUCUAGGGAGGAAUGAAGUAUCCACGUGUUGGUCUUCUUUCUUGAUAUUUUUCUUUUGUGUGUGUGUGUGUGUGUUUUGGAAGUUGUAUCUUGGGUAUUCUAAAUUUCUGGGCUAAUAUCCACUUAUCAGUAAGUGCAUAUCAAGUGACUUCUUUUGUGAUUGGGUUACCUCACUCAGGAUGAUAUCCUCCAGAUACAUCCAUUUGCCCAAGAAUUUCAUAAAUUCAUUGUUCUUAAUAGCUGAGCAGUACUCCAUUGUGUAAAUGUACCACAUUUUCUGUAUCCAUUCCUCUGUUAAGGAACAUCUGGGUUCUUUCCAGCUUCUGGCUAUUAUAAAUAAGGCUGCUAUGAACAUAGUGGAGCAUGUGUCCUUCUUACCAGUUGGAACAUCUUCUGGGUAUACGCCCAGGAGAGGUAUUGCGGGAUCUAGCGGUAGUACUGAUAUAGCUGUCUCCUGUGAGGCUUUGCCAGUGCCUGGCAAAUACAUAAGUGGAUGCUCACAGUCAUCUAUAAGAUGGAACACAGGGCCCCCAAUGGAGAAGCUAGAGAAAGCACCCAAGGAGCUGAAGGGGUCUGCAAAUAGGUGGAACAACAAUAUGAACUAACCAGUACCCCCCAGAGCUGCAUAUGUAGCAGAAGAUGGCUUAGUCGGCCAUCACUGGGAAGAGACCCCUUGAUCUAGCAAACUUUAUAUGCCCCAGUACAGGCAAACGCCAGGGCCAAGAGUGGGAGUGAGUGGAUAGGGGAGCAGGGCGGGGUGGGGGGGUGUAUAGGGGACUUUGGGGAUAGCAUUUGAAAUGUAAAUGAAGAAAAUAUCUAAUAAAAAAGUGGGAAAAAAGAAAGUGUUUUCAUAACAAAAAGAUAUGUGAGGUAGUACAUACUAUAACUAGUUGUUAGUCAUUCCACAGUGCUCACAUAUUUCAAAACAUCAUGUCAUAUGCCAUAUUUUUUAUCAACUAAAAAUAUAAGACUUUGUUUAAUAUAUUCACAUGUGUACAGAAACGUACAGAAAUGGUGUAUCAAAUGACAGUAUCUUCAGUCAUAAUUAUUAAAAAUUCACUAAAUGAUAUACCUAAAGUAAAUGUGAAAUCAUUUCUGUAAAACUAAAUGAUGAAAGAUUUAAAUUCAAGGAAGUAUUGAGAUUAAAAUUAUUUAUUCAGCAUUUCUUAAGAAUGCUAAAAAAAAGUUAAUGAACAUCUGUUACAAGGAAGUAAAAUCAAUGGGGUGUAAUUAAGACUAAAUUAAUAGGCUAGCUCAGUCUCACACUUUAAUGGAGAAGAACUUGGGCUUUAUAUCCUGGAAGAUAUUAAUCAAAAUUACUUAUGUAAAGUUGAGCCUUGCCUCAAAAAGAAAUUUCUAAAAA